rnacentral:lncRNA from 1 species
GAGGCGGGGCGGGAAGGCUAGAGGUGUCCGAUCCUCCAGUGCCGCGGGAGACCCGAGCCGGCGGUGUGACAGCUCGUCGGCCGCCAUGUCAGCGCGCGGGGCUGGAAACAGACCCGGCGCCCGGCGGUAGCCCUUGCAUUGCCUCGGAUGCCCAGGUAAGACCAGCAGCCCGGCUGCAGGGGAUCAGCCGGCUGGCGGCGACCGCCGAGCUGUGGGGAGUCGCUGGCUCCUCCCCGGGCGCUGUCCUCCCCGGAGUUGCAGCGGGUCCCUCUCGCAUCCGCCCCCUCUCGGAUCUCCUGUUUUCCCCGCUUUUCUGCGGGUACGCGGUUGUCGCGCGUCGCGCCAAUUUCUCCGCGCGCGCUCCCCUCCCCGGGGACCCGGCAGCUUCUACUCCGCGUCGGUGUCUCUGUUCGGUGGCCCGUCGCCUGUGCCAGCUUCCCUGCGGGUAGCUUUUAUUUGCCCCCAUAUACCUUCUUUCCCCUCCACAGCUACCUCUUUGGUUGUCAGGAACCGCCGAGUGCCUCCCUUCUUUCCCUCCCUGUGGGCCAAGAUUUACCUUUUCUUUUUAAUAUGCAUGUUUGCAAGACUGAAAUUUCAGGCUGAAAAAUUUUAAUAUUUGAAAGCUUAAAAUUCCUUCCCAUGUUUAAAAGGAUUAAAGCCUUAGGAAGCUUCCUUAUUCUCUGUGUAAACUUAGUUAAGCACAUUGUACCGUAGAAUGCAAUUUAAAAGGCCGAUUGCAAAGACUAAAAAUAGGAUACUCUAAUGGGAAUUUUGGCAGUGUUAGAAGAUCCUUUUCUUUGAGAGUGAUUUCGGUGUUUGGGGAUCGUACUCAAAGCUUUGCCCAUUAUCCCUUCCAUCAAGGCUGGAAGCUGCGGCCAAUCAACUUCUUAGUUUAAAAUAUGUACAAUCCUUUCUGCUUACUCUGCUGGCAGCAUAAUUGAGCUUGGCAUAUAAAUGCACAAGGAAAGAGUUUCUCAGGAAUGUGUCACCUGCCAAGUAGCCUCAAGAUUGCCCUUAGCUAAUGAAACUCUAGGGCGGAAAGAAUUGACACCUGAAGAUGGCCUUUUUUGCAUGGUAAGUUAGUACACUGCAGAAGCUAUUAACUGUUGUUCACUGAUCUUGAUUUUGUUAAGUUUUUGUUUUGUUUUUUAACAUCCUUUCUUUAUUGAAAUUAUUCUUCCCAGGCAUGGUGGUAAAAGUCUGUGCUCCUGGCAUUCAGGAGGCUGAUUACCCACCAGUUGGAGGCCAGCCUGGGAUGCAUAGAGUUCAGGGCUAGUUUAGGAUAUAGUGAAACCAUGUCUC